AUCACUACACAUAUAUCAUUUAUAUUUUAUCUCAUAUUAAAUUAAAUGUAAUUAUAUAACAUAAAUUUAAAUUUAAACUUAUUGCAUAUAUAUCUUUAUAUAUUAAAAGUGCCUAUCUAACGGCAAUUCUUGGUUUAACAGAAUAUGCUUUACAAAUAAAAGAAUAUUCUGUUAAAUUUAACCCCAAAAAGAAUCGUCCACCAUUUUUUUAAACUUUCCUUUUAACGCCGUUAACUUUCCUUUCCUUUUCGUUGAAUCGUUUUCUCACUCUCAAUUGGAGUCGACGAUUGAAGAAUAGUCUGCAUAUCAUCUUUCUUCUUCUGCUGCCUCCAGAUGCAUCGCCCAAGAACUUCAUCCUGGUCUUUUCGUUUAAUCGUCUUCUCACUCUCAGUUGGAGUCGACGAUUGAAGAAUAAGUGUAUCAUCGUUCGAUGUUUUUUUUUUUGUUCUUUUAAAUUAUGUAUUUUGGGAAUGAAUAAGUCUAUCGUUUUACAGUGUUGGGACUUGGUAUGAAGGUGGAGACCAAUGGCUAACCAUGCAGGAAAAGGAGUCCUCUCAAAUGGGUUUGUGUAUGUUCGCAAUUUGCGUGAUGAAACUUAGAGGAAAAAUUAAUCUUUUCAGAGUUCUUAAGGGAAGAAUUUUGUUCUGAGAUUAAUUUUUGAAUCCAUCACAGAAGAUCGAUAUAUAAGCUUACAUUGGACAAGAUCGUUUAAGGUGGAGACCAAUGACUUCAUGACUAUGCUAAUCUUCUCUGUUGAUUCGAUUUCUGAUGCGAAAAAUUCAAGCUUCGGAGAUUAUAUUCAAGUUACAAUAUCGGGAUUGCUUGUUUGAAAUAUCGAUGAUCUCAAACUGGGGUCUUCAGUUCCUUUAAUGGACUCUCUUCUCUUAUUGUUGGAACAUCAUCAUUAUUAGCCUGUUUAAUACUUCGUCCAAGAGACUUUGAAGACUUAAUCUUUAUGCUCCCAGCUUUCUUGGACGAAUUCCCAAGUGUACUCAAUGUAGCUUCAAGCAAAGAACUAGCACUAUCUUCCAUCUUCCCUUUCUUGUGCCCACGUUUGUGUUUCAUCUUCUUAUAAUCAAAUUAUUAUGCUAAAUUACAAUAAAAACCAGAAUCCAAACCAAAGUUCAGUAAUUUAAUCAAUUUAGCUUUUUAAUUAAUUUCUAAAAGACAGUCUUUUUCAGGUUCUCAUCUGCUUCGAAAUUGCCUAAUAAGUUUACCUCAGAAUCUAAUAUUGUGUCAUUCAUUAAAUCCUCUUUGGAUCAACCAGAAGGCGCAUCUCAUUGUUGGUUGAACAAAUUGGAAGGGAGCAACAAUGUCUUUAAAAAAAAUGGAAACUACUUAGUACUCGCUGGACAAUUUUCUGAAAGUUCUUUCACAAAUGAGUUUGAAGCUGUUACAUUUUUUGAAAAAGUAAAGUUACUUCAACAAAGAUUUCCUCAGCUCCACAUUAUCAGUUUUCAGUCUGGCAGUUUAAUUUGUUCUGCAGCCGGCAGAAGUAAUUUAGUCCAACUAAUAGUGAAAGAAAACAUUUUCUUUCCCAUUUUGUUAUCUAACAAGAACUUUCCUGAAGUGGGGAAUGGUGUAUGCCACAUAUUAUUUAAACAUUUUAAGAAUCCAAUUUUUUAUCACGAGAAGGACCUUAAUCUUGAAGUUCUUAGUAAAG